rnacentral:rRNA from 1 species
UCGGGUUGUAAAGCACUUUUGUUCGGGAAGAAAUCCCACCUACUAAUAUUGGGUGGGGAUGACGGUACCGGAGGAAUAAGCACCGGCUAACUACGUGCCAGCAGCGCGGUAAUCGUAGGGUGCGAGCGUUAAUCGGAAUUACUGGGCGUAAAGCGUGCGCAGGCGGUACGCUAAGACUGAUGUGAAAGCCCCGGGCUUAACCUGGGAACUGCAUUGGUGACUGGCGGGCUAGAGUAUGGCAGAGGGGGGUAGAAUUCCACGUGUAGCAGUGAAAUGCGUAGAGAUGUGGAGGAAUACCGAUGGCGAAGGCAGCCCCCUGGGCCAAUACUGACGCUCAUGCACGAAAGCGUGGGGAGCAAACAGGAUUAGAUACCCUGGUAGUCCACGCCCUAAACGAUGUCAACUAGUUGUUGGGUCUUCAUUGACUUAGUAACGUAGCUAACGCGUGAAGUUGACCGCCUGGGGAGUACGGUCGCAAGAUUAAAACUCAAAGGAAUUGACGGGGACCCGCACAAGCGGUGGAUGAUGUGGAUUAAUUCGAUGCAACGCGAAAAACCUUACCUACCCUUGACAUGGAUGGAAUCCUGAAG